rnacentral:rRNA from 1 species
GGUACUACGAGCGUUCGCUUAAAACUCAAAGGACUUGGCGGCUUGUUAACUUCCUAGGGGAAUAUGUGCCUUAAUCCGAUGAUCCCCGUAGAAUCUUACUGUGCCUUGAAAGAGUGCAGCUGGUGUAUUGCCGUUGUCAGCCUGUUGUUUGAGCAAAAAGUAACGGGCUUAAUGGAGCUUUAAUGAUUAGUUCGUUAGUGUCCAUGAAUUCAGGUCGUAAUACCGCCUAUGGCUCAAGGGAGUAGGUAUUACAGUUUAUAUUUAAAAUUACGGAUCCUUAUUUUGAAAUAUUAGGGUGAAGGUGAACUUAGUAGUAAGGGAAAAUUAAUAUGUUCCUCUGAAAUUGACUCUGGCUUGUGUACAAACUGCCCGUCGCUCUCGGCGAAAGCUGAGAUAAGUCGUAACAAGGUAGGGGUAU